UCUCCUACACUGCCUGCUUUUGGUCAGUAAUUAUUUGAAUCUCUGAAAAGAGGGGCAUGUUCACACCUGGCUCCUCUCACAGCAGAUGGUUAUUAUUACUGAUUAUUAGAUGGUUAUUAUUACUGGUUAUUAGAUGGUUAUUAUUACUGAUUCUCCUAAUUAGUAGUCUGGUAUGUAUGAGAGGGUCCCUGGGGCAGAGGUACAGGAUUCACGGUGUGGUCAAUGGAAAAUCUCGGGGCUGGGAGCUGAGAACACAAUGCCCUCCGUCAACAGACCUCUAAACCAUAUCGCCUCAUCUGUGUAUAAAAAUCAUGCCAUCAUUUUUGCUGGCACAAGACGGGCUGGGAAAUAGUAGCCUGGGUGGAAGUGUAAGAUGGAAAGAUCACUGAUGACGGGUGACACAUCUUCUUCCUCCUUCUCCUCUACUUUCCUGUCUGACCUCUGCUUCCCUACACAGCGCCAGGCGCCUGAACAACAAGCAUGGUUAUUUGCAAGUGAGUGAAAGGUGAUCUCAGUGCUCUACCCCCUCCCCUUUUUUGGAGAUUCGUAUUACUUGCACCUUUGAUUCCAGAAGAGAAAGGCUCAGGCGACUCCUGCAACCCCAUCUGAAGGCUCACCUCUCCGUGACGGGGGCUAUACUGGAAACACUGGAAACCAGAAGGGUUCACAGCGCGUCCAGGAAAGGAGCGAGACAGGGAUCAAGACUAAACGGGAUAAAACAGAAAGAUAAGAGCUUCAAAGAGAAAAUCAUUAGAGAAAAUAAUAUGAAGUGCUCGGCACACCAGGAGAGACAUCCAGCUCCAUAUUAAGAGAAAGCCUUGCAGAGUUGGUACAAUGCUGAGAGCAAGAUGUCCUGUAGCUGGAGGGACCUUGGAAAAGACACUGGAACCCUGGACUCAACAGAUGUCAAAACUGGCAGAUGUUCUGCUGAGGAAAAAAUGGACCCUGCAUGGAAUCUAUGCGGGGAGCAUUUAUAUAUCACUCCUGUUGUAUGAAGGUGCCGACGUACUUCAGAACGAUCAAUACAAAGGAAGACCACAACAGGAACAGGAGGUUACAUUUCUUCCUGAUGCCCAGCAGAGGGAGGGUGAUGCCUGUCCCUAUGCCUCCUGUUCUCAAGGGGCUGCCCCAAGGAGUCACCUUGCUGACGGCCAAGAGGAGCUGAGGCGACACUUCAUUACCAAAACCCCUUGAAGCAAGUGGAAAUGAAUUCUCCUGUAAUUAUGAAAUGUGUUAUGUUUAUUUCCUAAUGAGUUUCUAAUUCUCUGUAAAUUGAACAUAGUACAAGUGAGCCGUAAAUAUACACAUUACUAAUUAUUUAUAAAAAAAGAAGUUAAUUCCUCAAGACAAAGAGGGAAACUUCAUAAUUUUAGGAAUGAAUCAUCAGUGACUGGAGUGAACGGAAAGAGACUGAUGCUUUAAAAUUAUAAAGGGUGCCGGGAAUGUUUACAAAGUAACCACAACUUACUGCAAGUCUGAAUAUUUGCACAUUUCUACUACAGCCAACAUGAAUUUCUGACCAGUUUAACAGGUAAUAUUUUGGUUCUAAUUAAGCAAAAGCCAUGCUAGUCAAUUCUUAAGCAUUUACAUAUCAAGAAGAAAAGAGCUGAAUAAAUUUGAAAAUAUUAAUUAAAAACUACAAUAAUGCUUCAUAAACUAACUUAAAAGGUUGCCUUUCUAUCAACUAAAAAUUAAAAAAAAUUUUGUUUUAUUGUGGUAAAGUCACAUAAUAUAAAAUAUACUAUUUUAACCAUUAUCAACUAAAAUUUAACUUCAGCUUUUCUCAUUUUAAUUUACCAACACUCAUUUU